GGGGGUAUAGCUCAGCUGGGAGAGCACCUGCUUUGCAAGCAGGGGGUCAGCGGUUCGAUCCCGCUUAUCUCCACCA
rnacentral:tRNA from 29 species